rnacentral:misc_RNA from 1 species
AACUUUUAGCAACGGAUCACUUGGCUCUCGCAUCGAUGAAGAAAGCAGCGAAAUGCGAUAAGUAAUGUGAAUUGCAGAAUUCAGUGAAUCAUCGAAUCUUUGAACGCACCUUGCACCCUUUGGAAUUCCAAAGGGUAUGCUCGUUUGAGUGUCAUUGUACUCUCACACUCUCCGAUCCUCUGGAUUUGGGGAGCGGUGGACUUGGGUGCUUGCUGCUUUCCUUGCGGCUCACCUCAAAUGCGUCAGUGCAUCUCUUGAUUGGACACAGUACGGCGUGAUAAGUGUCUUCGCCGGCACCUCAUAAGAGGGUGGCUGAUCGGGAGCUCUGUGCUUUUAAACCGUCUUCUGACACUCUCUGACAACUUGACCUCAAAUCGAGUAGGAUUACCCGCUGAACUUAAGCAUAUCAAUAAGCGGAGGCU